UUAAUUUUUUUAUAUCCAAUUAAUUCAAUUUAUGAUUUCGUUUUGGUUAAGAUCAUUGGUUUUAAUAUUUCAAGUUAUUUAUUUGUGAAUAGAAAGUUGUUAUUAAUUGUAUAAAUAUUCGGAAAUUUCUAUUUAGAGAUGCCUCUGGUGGUGUAAUUUCUCGUACCUUCCCUCUUAGGUUUCAGGUUAGGUUAAGAUUUUGCUUGCAAAAUGUUUGCAUAGUUUAAAUAUUAUGCUCUUUUUUUUUCUUUCUUUCAUUCGUGUUUAUUGAUAUGAUUAAAUUCCGUUGAUUGGUUCAUCGGUGCCCUAAUUGUAGGAUGUGAGUAACAUUCGGCAAGUUUUUUAUCAUCAUGUUGCUCGUGGUUUAUGCUAUCUUCAUCUCUCUUGUGUUCUAUUUUCUAACCCUCAAGAAAAAAUUUUCUUUUUGGGUGCUUAUUAACAAUUGAUGGAUGACUGAUUUUUUUUGGGUAUAUUUUAUGAGGUAUUCGCCGACCAUGCACGUGAUGAAAGCUUGAUCUUUUGAACUAUUUAGAUCUCAGGCAUGAUGUUGGGGAUAACAGAAGGUGCUAAAGAAUGCAGGAUAACAUUUAAAUGCCAAGACCAGGGACAUCAUGUUUUAGAAUGCAGACCAGUGUGACCUAUCUUAUCUUCUAGUAGUAGGCCACACGAUUAGAAUUCUUUCCCGCAUGGUUUAUCACUAAUUUUAAUUUCAUUCUUUUUCUUAUAUAUGCUCUAUGCAUGCACGAAGAAUGGGGAGAAUGGUUAGAUGUGUUGUUAUGACAUUUCCUUUCCUGUUUAGUUGAUUUUUUCUUACCGUUUACUUUAACAGGCCAUUUUCAAGUGAAGGCAAGACAGAGAAGCACAAAAUCUUUUGACGAUUUAUUUAACAAAUCUACGACAUAAAGCAGUUGGCUCAAAUGUUUUAAUCGUUGCCCACAAGCCAAUCUUGAUAAAGAAAGGAACGAGUAAGCAAUGAAGCAAAGGCAGAUAGACAUCUCCCCCUCUGGUUUUAUUUGGAUGGCGUUUGAUAGGUGAUUUUUCAUGGAUUCACAAAAAUUAAAAAUAGGGGGAUGAAUUUUUUGAUGAAAAGGAAAGAAACAGGCAGUCAAGGAAGCAAAGGCAGCCCAACCUGACCCCCUCUUGUGGUUUUUGGAUGGUGUUUGAUAGAUGGUCAUUUAUGGUGGUGUCGUGGACCCCUGCAUGUGAUGAAAGCUUGAUCUUUUAAGCGUUUUGGAUCUCAGGCAUGAUGUUUUGGGGAUAAUGGAAGUGCCACCUGGUUUCUUCAAGACCUUGCAACUGAGCAAGGUGGUGAAGGAUGGAGGGUAAUAUUUAAAUACCAAGAAUGAGGACAUCAUGUUUUAGAAUGCAGCCCACACAAUUAGAAUACUUUCCCGCAUUGUUUGUCAAUAAUUUGAAUUUUUUUUCUUUCUGAUAUAUGCCCUAUGCAAUCACAAAAAAAGGGGAGAAUGGUUAGAUGUGUUAUUAUGAUAUUUGCUUCAGUUGUUUCUUUGACGUAAAUGGACUGUAAUUGACCGUGUACUGCAUUUCAUUUGAUUGAGCUGACUGGAGUAAUUGCGGGCCCUUGAUUAUUUUACAGAGAUAUCCCUGCUGUUAUUACAA